rnacentral:rRNA from 1 species
UACAGAGGGUGCAAGCGUUGUCCGGAAUCACUGGGCGUAAAGGGCGCGUAGGUGGCGCUGCAAGUCGGUGGUGAAAGCUCGCCGCUUAACGGCGAGUCGGCCAUCGAAACUGCAGGGCUCGAGCACUGUAGGGGCUAAUGGAAUUCCGGGUGUAGCGGUGGAAUGCGUAGAGAUCCGGAAGAACACCAGUGGCGAAGGCGGUUAGCUGGGCAGUUGCUGACACUGAUGCGCGACAGCGUGGGGAGCAAACAGG